rnacentral:misc_RNA from 1 species
AGUGGAAUUUGAUCUGAAUGAAGGCUUUAAUGGUGAUGAUGGGAGAUUAGGGGAACCAAAUAACUCGAAAGCACGAGAAUGUUCUACUGCUGUUCAAUUAAUUAGCCCUUUGCCUUUACCUGUUUCUUCUGGUUCCAGUGGUCUUCCUGCUUUGAUUACAGUAGCUUCUGCUGCGAAAAGGCCAUUUGUUCCCCCAGAGGAUUUACUGAAGAAUAAGGGAGAACUUGGUUGGAAGGGAUCAGCAGCCACAAGUGCAUUUCGGCCAGCUGAACCUAGAAAAGCAUUGGAGAUGCUGGCAAGUACGACUAGUGUAUCACUCUCUGAUGCACCUGCUGCUAAGUGCAAUCGUCCUCCU